AGCAGCAGCCGCGGGAAUACGGAGGGUGCAAGCGUUAACCGGAUUUAUUGGGUUUAAAGGGUCCGUAGGCGGAUCUGUAAGUCAGUGGUGAAAUCUCACAGCUUAACUGUGAAACUGCCAUUGAUACUGCAGGUCUUGAGUAAAGUUGAAGUGGCUGGAAUAAGUAGUGUAGCGGUGAAAUGCAUAGAUAUUACUUAGAACACCAAUUGCGAAGGCAGGUCACUAAGAUUUAACUGACGCUGAUGGACGAAAGCGUGGGGAGCGAACAGGAUUAGAUACCCCUGUAGUCCCUGUCUCUUAUAC
rnacentral:rRNA from 1 species